rnacentral:rRNA from 1 species
AUACGGAGGAUGCAAGCGUUAUCCGGAUUUAUUGGGUUUAAAGGGUGCGUAGGCGGUUUGCUAAGCGGGAGGUGAAAUGCCGGCGCUCAACGUCGGAAGUGCCUCCCGAACUGGUGGACUUGAAUGACUCUGCCGUGGGAGGAAUGUGUAGUGUAGCGGUGAAAUGCUUAGAGAUUACACAGAACACCGAUUGCGAAGGCAUCUCACGAAGGGUUGAUUGACGCUGAGGCACGAAAGCGUGGGGAUCAAACGGGAUUAGAUACCCUGGUAGUCCACGCAGUAAACGAUGAUGGCUAACCGCUGGGCUUAUCAGUUCAGUGGCCAAGCGAAAGCGAUAAGCCAUCCACCUGGGGAGUACGACCGCAAGGUUGAAACUCAAAUGAAUUGACGGGG